rnacentral:lncRNA from 1 species
UCACCUUAGUUUUUACUUCAUCAUCUACUAGUGAAGGCCCGCGCUUCGCGGUGAAAAAUUUAUACAAUUUUUAAAAUAUUUUGAACAAAUUUUUUUAAUUUUUUAAUUUGCAAAUCUAAUUUCAAAUUUUAAACUUCAAAAAAUUGAAGAGAGGAAAAUUAAAAAAAUUAUUUAAAUAAAGAGGGAUAAAAAAUUUUGAAGUUUGAAAUGCGAUUUAUUAUAUGUAUUAUUAAUAAAUUAAUUAAUUAUAUAUUAUAUAAUAUUAUUAAUAAAUGUAAUUAAUUAAUUAAUUUUAUAGAGUUUAGAGAUUAAAAAGUUUAAACUUUGAAGUUUAAAAUUAAAAUAAAUAUUAUAUGGUAAUAUUUACAUUUAAAAUUUAAAUGUAAAAUAUAAAAUUUGAAAAUUAAAAUUUUAAAAGU